UAAUCCACACCGUAAACGAUGAAUGCCAGUCGUCGGGUAGUAUACUAUUCGGUGACACACCUAACGGAUUAAGCAUUCCGCCUGGGGAGUACGGUCGCAACGAUGAAACUCAAAGGAAUUGACGGGGACCCGCACAAGCGGUGGAGCAUGUUCUUUAAUUCGAUAAUAACCGGGGAACCUUACCCAGACUUGACAUCUCGAAAGGGUCUCAGAAAUGAGACUGUGCCCGCAAGGGAAUUCGAUGACAGGCGCUGCAUGGUUGCCGUCAGCUCGUGCCUUGAGGUGUUCGGUUUAGUCCGUUAACGAGCGAAACCCAUAUCAUUAGUUACUAUGUCUAAUGAGACUGCCUGAGUUAAUCAGGAGGAAGGUGUGGAUGACGUCAAAUCAGCAUGGCCCUUAUGUCUGGGGGCUACACGCAUGAUACAAUGGUCGAUACAAAGAGUACGCAAUCUAGUGAUAGUGAGCU
rnacentral:rRNA from 1 species